AGAUACGAUUGUACCAGCUCUAAAGCACCAGAUCACAUCACAACUCUGAAGUUAAGCGUGCUUGGGCGAGAAUAGUUCUAGGAUGGGUGACCUCCCGGGAAGUCCUCGUGUUGCAUUUA
rnacentral:rRNA from 1 species